GAUGAACGCUGGCGGCGUGCCUAAUACAUGCAAGUCGAGCGAACAGACGAGGAGCUUGCUCCUCUGACGUUAGCGGCGGACGGGUGAGUAACACGUGGAUAACCUACCUAUAAGACUGGGAUAACUUCGGGAAACCGGAGAUAAUACCGGAUAAUAUAUUGAACCGCAUGGUUCAAUAGUGAAAGACGGUUUUGCUGUCACUUAUAGAUGGAUCCGCGCCGCAUUAGCUAGUUGGUAAGGUAACGGCUUACCAAGGCAACGAUGCGUAGCCGACCUGAGAGGGUGAUCGGCCACCCUGGAACUUAGACACGGUCCAGACUCCUACGGGAGGCAGCAGUAGGGAAUCUUCCGCAAUGGGCGAAAGCUUGACGGAGCAACGCCGCGUGAGUGAUGAAGGUCUUCGGAUCGUAAAACUCUGUUAUUAGGGAAGAACAAAUGUGUAAGUAACUAUGCACGUCUUGACGGUACCUAAUCAGAAAGCCACGGCUAACUACGUG
rnacentral:rRNA from 1 species